rnacentral:rRNA from 1 species
AUUGAACGCUGGCGGCAGGCCUAACACAUUCAAGUCGAACGAGUGGCGGACGGGUGAGUAAUGUCUGGGAAACUGCCUGAUGGAGGGGGAUAUCUACUGGACACGGUAGCUAAUACCGCAUACCAUCAGAUGUGCCCAGAUGGGAGUAGCUUUUUGGUGGGGUAACGCCUCACCAAGGCGACGACCCCUAGCUGGUCUGAGAGGAUGAACAGCCACACGUGAACUGAGACACGGUCCAGACUCCUACGGGAGGUAGCAGUGGCGAAUAUUGCACAAUGGGCGAAAGCCUGAUGCAGCCAUGCCGCGUGUAUGAAGAAGGCCUUCGGGUUGUAAAGUACUUGCAGCGGGGAGGCGUUACCCGCAGAAGAAGCACCGGCUAACUCCGUGCCAGCAGCCGCGGUAAUUC